CCUACGGGAGGCAGCAGUGAGGAAUAUUGGUCAAUGGCCGGAAGGCUGAACCAGCCAAGCCGCGUGAAGGACGAAGGUGCCAAGCAUUGUAAACUUCUUUUGUCAAGGGACAAAAUCAGGCUCGAGAGCCUGACCGAGGGUACUUGAAGAAAAAGCAUCGGCUAACUCCGUGCCAGCAGCCGCGGUAAUACGGAGGAGGUGAGCGUUGUCCGGAUUUAUUGGGUUAAAGGGGUGCGUAGGGGGGCUGUUAAGUCAGCGGUAAAAGCCCGGGGCUCAACCCCGGCGAGCCGAUGAAACUGGGUGACUUGAGAUGUCGAGAGGUAUGCGGAAUGCGCAGUGUAGCGGUGAAAUGCUUAGAUAUUGCGCAGAACUCCGAUUGUGAAGGCAGGAUACCGGAGGCGAUCUGACGCUGAGGCACGAAAGCGUGGGUAUCGAACAGGAUUAGAUACCCUAGUAGUC
rnacentral:rRNA from 1 species